rnacentral:rRNA from 1 species
ACUUUACAAUGCGGGCAACCGUGAUAAGGGAACCUCGAGUGCCUGUACAUGCAGGCUGUUCAGGUGUCUAAAACACACCUGAAGAAAGGGCCGGGCAAGACCGGUGCCAGCCGCCGCGGUAAUACCGGCGGCUCGAGUGGUGGCCACUUUUAUUGGGCUUAAAGCGUUCGUAGCUGGGUUGUUAAGUCUCUUGGGAAAUCUGGCGGCUUAACCGUCAGGCGUCUAAGGGAUACUGGCAAUCUUGGAACCGGGAGAGGUGAGGGGUACUUCGGGGGUAGGAGUGAAAUCCUGUAAUCCUCGAGGGACCACCUGUGGCGAAGGCGCCUCACCAGAACGGCUUCGACAGUGAGGGACGAAAGCUGGGGGAGCAAACCGG